UAUACUUAGUGGCGGACGGGUGAGUAACGCGUGGGCAACCUGCCCCGUGCCGGGGGAUACCGCCUGGAAACAGGCGCUAAUACCGCAUAAGCGCAUACAGCCGCAUGGCAGUAUGCGGAAAGCUCCGGCGGCACGGGAUGGGCCCGCGCCCGAUUAGCCAGUUGGCGGGGUAACGGCCCACCAAAGCGACGAUCGGUAGCCGGCCUGAGAGGGCGGACGGCCACAUUGGGACUGAGACACGGCCCAAACUCCUACGGAAGGCAGCAG
rnacentral:rRNA from 1 species